GCCUGCCUACGGGGGGCAGCAGUAGGGAAUUUUCGUCAAUGGGCGCAAGCCUGAACGAGCAAUGCCGCGUGAACGAGGAAGGUCUUCGGAUCGUAAAGUUCUGUUGAAGGGGAAAAAGAGCGGAGAGAGGAAAUGAACUCCGAUUGAUAUUACCCUUCGAGGAAGUCGCGGCUAACUACGUGCCAGCAGCCGCGGUAAUGCGUAGGUGGCGAGCGUUAUCCGGAAUGAUUGGGCGUAAAGGGGGCGUAGGCGGCCUGCUAAGUCUGGAGUGAAAGGUACCGGCUCAACCGGUAUAGGCUCUGGAA
rnacentral:rRNA from 1 species